AGAUAUUGCAGGGACCCAACUAGCAACCGGCAAUCCUUGUGAAGAAGCAUCUAGAAACCACAAACACAUCCGCCCUGAAGCUGCUGUCUGGGAGCCUUUCAAGUUAAUGAUCCCUGGGAGUUAAGAGUUGGAAUCAAAGGACCUGACUUAGUCUUACUUUCCAGUGCCCCGAGUUGGCACCGUUCCAGACCUGUUCUGCUGUCUCCUCCCAGAAACUGGCUGCUGAUUCUCAGAAGACCAGCGAGAGAAGUAGGCAAAGUUGGAGGAGAAAAGGAGAGUGGACACGUAGUCACCAUCAAAAUGUGCUGCCGGGAACUUUCCCAGUCUCACUCAGGGAUGGUGUGUCCUCUGCUCAUCCUAAUAGCUUUUAAUUACAAGCUUAUUAAAUGUCUGCCCUUAUGCCAA